rnacentral:lncRNA from 1 species
AUUACAGGUCUGGCAAAUGGAUGUCACGCAUAUUUCCUCCUUUGGGAGAAAUCAAUAUUUACAUGUUUCUAUUGACACCUGCUCUGGUGUAAUGUUUGCCACACCUUUAACCGGAGAAAAAGCCUCACAUGUGAUUCAACAUUGUCUUGAGGCAUGGAGUGCUUGGGGGAAACCCAAACUCCUUAAGACUGAUAAUGGACCAGCUUAUACAUCUCAAAAAUUCCAGCAGUUCUGCCGUCAGAUGGACGUGACCCACCUGACUGGACUUCCAUACAACCCUCAAGGACAGGAAUGAAGACAACCCAUUUUGGAUACCAGAAAGACUCACCCGAAAAAUCCAGACUGACCAAGGGAAUGCUGAUGUCCCUCGUCUUGGUGAUGUCCAGGGCGUCAAUAAUAAAGAGAGAGCAGCGUUGGGGGAUAAUGUCGACAUUUCCACUCCCAAUGACGGUGAUGUAUAAUGCUCAAGUAUUCCCCUGCUUUUUUACCACUAACUAGGGACUGGGUUUGGCCUUGAUUCAGACAGCCUUGGCUCUGUCUGGACAGGUCCAGACGACUGACACCAUUAACACUUUGUCAGCCUCAGUGACUACAGUCAUAGAUAAACAGGCCUCAGCUAAUGUCAUGAUACAGGGUGGUCUCAUGCUGGUUAAUCAACGCAUAGAUCUUGUCCAGAAACAACUAGAUGUAUUAUGGCAAAUAGCUCAGCUGGGAUGUGAACAAAAGUUUCCGGGAUUGUGUGUUACUUCCAUUCAGUAUGAGAAAUUUACUAGGGCAGCUAAUUUGUCAAAAAGUCUUUUUCAGUAUAUGUUACAGAAUUGGACGGCUGAAUUUGAACAGAUCCUUCGGGAAUUGAGACUUCAGGUCAACUCCACGCGCUUGGACCUGUCCCUGACCAAAGGAUUACCCAAUUGGAUCUCCUCAGCAUUUCCCUUCUUUAAAGAAUGGGUGGGAUUGAUAUUAUUUGGAGAUACACU